AUUGAACGCUGGCGGCAUGCCUUACACAUGCAAGUCGAACGGCAGCACGGGUGCUUGCACCUGGUGGCGAGUGGCGAACGGGUGAGUAAUACAUCGGAACAUGUCCUGUAGUGGGGGAUAGCCCGGCGAAAGCCGGAUUAAUACCGCAUACGAUCUACGGAUGAAAGCGGGGGACCUUCGGGCCUCGCGCUAUAGGGUUGGCCGAUGGCUGAUUAGCUAGUUGGUGGGGUAAAGGCCUACCAAGGCGACGAUCAGUAGCUGGUCUGAGAGGACGACCAGCCACACUGGGACUGAGACACGGCCCAGACUCCUACGGGAGGCAGCAGUGGGGAAUUUUGGCCAAUGGGCGAAAGCCUGAUCCAGCAAUGCCGCGUGUGUGCAGAAGGCCUUCGGGUUGUAAAGCACUUUUGUCCGGAAAGAAAUCCUUGGCCCUAAUACGGUCGGGGGAUGACGGUACCGGACGAAUAAGCACCGGCUAACUACGUG
rnacentral:rRNA from 1 species